UGGGACGGAGUCAAGCCUGAUUCCCAGCUGCGCAGCCGGCCCCUGGAUCUCCACGAGGGGCGAGGGACACCGAGAAAGAUAGAGAGAGAGAGAGAGAGAAUUGGCUCGAGCGAUACAACUCACAAGAGGGAAAAAAAGAAAAGAAUUUUUAAAAAAAACAAAAAAACCCAGAAAAGACGAAAUGAGAUUAAAUUUUCCAAGAACGACGAGCGCUGUGCGGAAACACAGCAACGAGCAACGAGCGGCCACAAGGACUCCACAUCUGUCUGGAAUUAAAAAGAGUCGGAGACGGACCGGAGUUGAACUAAAGGGACUCGUUCAUAUUAGAGAUGAAGAGAGAACACGUCCUUCGACGCAGAAAUCAAACCAAACACAGAAGGGAAAUAUGAAAAUACAAAGAAUUCCUUGUUCCUGGACUGUGAGAGGAAUGUCCCCGACACACUCGUUCCUGAUGGCAUCCCUGACCUCUGAACCCUGAGCCGAUACCUGGUGCACAUACCGUAGAAAUUUUUGUACAGUAGGACAACAUUUUCUGUAUUGACAAAUUUUCAAUACAGAUAGAUGAAGAGAGUGUGUAUACAGAACGUGAUGUCAGAACAUUUGACUGUCCUGCUGUUUGUCCCUGGACAUGAGGUUUAAGAGAGACGGGAAACUGGAGUACUGUGACCUCAUCUGGAUACUCCAUCAAUACUGUGUGUUUCUGUGUGUGUGUGUGUGUGUGUGUGUGUGUGGCUGAGUCAUUGCAUUCAGCUGCCAGUUGGCUGUUUCAACAACAAACAGCAGAAAUGAACAUUUAUUGUCUCUCACACACACACACACACACACACACACUUUUGUUUUUCUCACUUUAGGAGUCCACAUGUUGUUUUGCUUACUUGUGAGGACCAACACUUUCAUGGUUUUGCACCCAUCCAACUUUUUGGGCCACAUGUGGGGAUAAAUCCCUUUCAUCAAUUACAGAUGCAACAGUGAAUCGAUUAUUUAUCGACUACUUAAUUAAACGCUGUACAAUUUUGAUAGUCGAUAAAUCAGUUCCUGAAGUUUUAAUGAAAAUAAAGAGUCUAAAUUCUCUGA